rnacentral:rRNA from 1 species
UCCAGACUCCUACGGGAGGCAGCAGUGGGGGAUAUUGGACAAUGGGGGAAACCCUGAUCCAGCGACGCCGCGUGAGUGAAGAAGUAUUUCGGUAUGUAAAGCUCUAUCAGCAGGGAAGAAAGAAAUGACGGUACCUGAGUAAGAAGCCCCGGCUAACUACGUGCCAGCAGCCGCGGUAAUACGUAGGGGGCAAGCGUUAUCCGGAAUUACUGGGUGUAAAGGGAGCGUAGACGGUUAAGCAAGUCUGGAGUGAAAGGCGGGGGCCCAACCCCCGGACUGCUCUGGAAACUGUGUAACUAGAGUGCAGGAGAGGUAAGCGGGAUUCCUAGUGUAGCGGUGAAAUGCGUAGAUAUCAGGAGGAACACCGGUGGCGAAGGCGGCCUGCUGGACUGCGACUGACGUUGAGGCCCGAAAGCGUGGGGAGCAAACAGGAUUAGAUACCCGGGUA